rnacentral:lncRNA from 1 species
GGCCACAGGCUUAGGCGGCCCAGGAAGUGCGGCCUCUGCGACAGCAGAGGCCCCAAGUUAAGCCGCAUGGGAGCUACAAUUCGCCUGAAUGCGCGCAAAUCACAAACCACCACCACUCUCCCCUCAAAUCCACAGAAGUCAAGAAACUCAAAGCUGCCUCAAGAUCGGAGACUGUGACUUCACUUCCCCCCGAAAUAAGGCACACCACGAUUCCGCCCGUGAAACAUCUGGAUGGGGACUCACAUCCCCACACACGGGCAACUGCAUCCAAGACUAGCUCCUGAGGAGCGAGCGCGGAAGUGAGUUCAGGACCUGGAGCGCAGCGCCCGGAGGGUCGGUGAUCUCCCCGCGCUGGGUCUCUUGCAUCCUUCCUACCAGCUGCUGCUGUCACCAGCCUCUGGCUCCGCCCCUCUGAGCCCCCCUUACCUCUCAGCCAAUAGAAACCCCUGACUGCUUUCCACCGCCCCAAACCCUUUCCACACCCCCACGUUCUGGGAGCUGGUUGGCUGCCUUACCCUCAGCGAAGCUGCUGGAUUUGCAUGGCG